rnacentral:tRNA from 1 species
GGGCGCAUAGCUCAGCUGGUUAGAGCACCAGCCUUACAAGCUGGGGGUCUCAAGUUCGACUCUUGAUGCGCCCA